rnacentral:rRNA from 1 species
CAGAGGGGUGCAAGCGUUAAUCGGGAUUUUACUGGGCGUAAAAGCGCGCGUAGGUGGCCAAUUAAGUCAAAUGUGAAAUCCCCGAGCUUAACUUGGGAAUUGCAUUCGAUACUGGUUGGCUAGAGUAUGGGAGAGGAUGGUAGAAUUCCAGGUGUAGCGGUGAAAUGCGUAGAGAUCUGGAGGAAUACCGAUGGCGAAGGCAGCCAUCUGGCCUAAUACUGACACUGAGGUGCGAAAGCAUGGGGAGCAAACAGGAUU